rnacentral:rRNA from 1 species
AAGACCUUGCGCUUUUGGAGCGGCCGAUGUCUGAUUAGCUAGUUGGUGGGGUAAUGGCCUACCAAAGCUUCGAUCAGUAGCUGGUCUGAGAGGACGGCCAGCCACACUGGGACUGAGACACGGCCCAGACUCCUACGGGAGGCAGCAGUGGGGAAUUUUGGACAAUGGGCGCAAGCCUGAUCCAGCCAUGCCGCGUGAGUGAAGAAGGCCUCCGGGUUGUAAAGCCCUUUCAGCCGGGAAGAAAAGGUUGCGAUUAAUAAUCGCAAUUGAUGACGGUACCGGAAGAAGAAGCACCGGCUAACUACGUGCCAGCAGCCGCGGUAAUACGUAGGGUGCGAGCGUUAAUCGGAAUUACUGGGCGUAAAGGGUGCGCAGGCGGUUUUGUAAGUCAGAUGUGAAAUCCCCGGGCUUAACCUGGGAACU